rnacentral:rRNA from 1 species
GACGAACGCUGGCGGCGUGCUUAACACAUGCAAGUCGAGCGAUGAAGCUUCUUCGGAAGUGGAUUAGCGGCGGACGGGUGAGUAACACGUGGGUAACCUGCCUCAUAGAGGGGAAUAGCCUUCCGAAAGGAAGAUUAAUACCGCAUAAGAUUGUAGCUUCGCAUGAAGCAGCAAUUAAAGGAGCAAUCCGCUAUGAGAUGGACCCGCGUCGCAUUAGCUAGUUGGUGAGGUAACGGCUCACCAAGGCGACGAUGCGUAGCCGACCUGAGAGGGGGAUCGGCCACAUUGGAACUGAGAAACAGCCCAGACUCCUACGGGAGGCAGCGGUGGGGAAUAUUGCACAAUGGGGGAAACCCUGAUGCAGCAACGCCGCGUGAGUGAUGACGGUCUUCGGAUUGUAAAGCUCUGUCUUCAGGGACGAUAAUGACGGUACCUAAGGAGGAAGCCACGGCUAACUACGUGCCAGCAGCCGCCGUAA